rnacentral:rRNA from 1 species
AGGUUAACCGAAUAGGGAAGCCGUAGCGAAAGCGAGUCCGAAUAGGGCGAUUCAGUCGCUGGGUGUAGACCCGAAACCAGAUGAUCUAUCCAUGGCCAGGUUGAAGGCACGGUAACACGUGCUGGAGGACCGAACCCACUAAUGUUGAAAAAUUAGGGGAUGAGCUGUGGAUAGGGGUGAAAGGCUAAACAAAUCUGGAAAUAGCUGGUUCUCUCCGAAAACUAUUUAGGUAGUGCCUCAAGUAUUACUGCGGGGGGUAGAGCACUGUUAUAGCUAGGGGGUCAUGGCGACUUACCAAACUAUGGCAAACUCCGAAUACCCGCAAGUACAGCUUGGGAGACAGAGCACCGGGUGCUAACGUCCGGACUCAAGAGGGAAACAACCCAGACCGCCAGCUAAGGUCCCAAAUUAUCGCUAAGUGGGAAACGAAGUGGGAAGGCAUAGACAGUCAGGAGGUUGGCUUAGAAGCAGCCAUCCUUUAAAGAAAGCGUAAUAGCUCACUGAUCGAGUCGUCCUGCGCGGAAGAUGUAACGGGGCUAAGCGAUAAACCGAAGCUGCGGGUGUGCACUUU